rnacentral:ncRNA from 2 species
UAUUUUUGAUCAAAAUUAUACAUGCAAGCAUCUGCACACCAGUGAGAAUGCCCUAACUUACACUUAAAAGGAGCAGGUAUCAGGCACGACCUGUCAGCCCAAAACACCUUGCUAUGCCACACCCACAUGGGUACUCAGCAGUAAUUAAUAUUAAGCAAUGAGUAAAAGCCACAUUAAGCUCGACUUAGUUAUGAUCACUAGGGCCGGUUAACCUCGUGCCAGCCACCGCGGUUAUACGAAGGGCCCAAAACAGCAGACACCGGCGUAAAUUGUGACUAGAGAUACCACCUUAAACAAGGAGAAAUAAACCACACCCUAACCGUAAAACAUAGGCUAAAUGAAGCCCCCAACUCUUCUUACACAAGGUUGCUUGAACCCACGAAAACUAAGAAACAAACUAGGAUUAGACACCCUACUAUGCUUAGAUGUAAACAAGACACUGCACAACUAAAGUGUCCGCCAGAGAAUUACAAGCGAAAAGCUUAAAACUCAAAGGACUUGGCGGUGCUCCGUACUCAACUUAGAGGAGCCUGUCCUAUAAUCGAUACUCCACGAUAAACCCCACCAUCUUUUGCCAACCCAGCCUAUAUACCGCCGUCGAAAACUUACCCCAUGAGGGAAAAAAAGUAAGUAAAAUAGUUAAUCACUAACACGUCAGGUCAAGGUGUAGCUUACAAGAUGGCAGAGAUGGGCUACAUUUUCUAACAAGAACAUACGGCAAUGGGCCAUGAAAUGCCCCCACGAAGGCGGAUUUAACAGUAAGAUAAUUAAGAAAAAUUAUCUAAAACUUGCUCCGGAGCGCGCACACACCGCCCGUCACCCUCCUCAACAAACCAAAUA